rnacentral:rRNA from 1 species
CCGCAAUGGGCGAAAGCCUGACGGAGCAAGACCGCGUGAGGGAGGAAGGCUCUUGGGUUGUAAACCUCUUUUCUUGGGGAAUAAAAAAAUGAAGGUACCCAAGGAAUCAGCAUCGGCUAACUCCGUGCCAGCAGCCGCGGUAAUACGGAGGAUGCAAGCGUUAUCCGGAAUUAUUGGGCGUAAAGCGUCCGCAGGUGGCACUUCAAGUCUGCUGUCAAAGACCGGGGCUUAACCCUGGAAAGGCAGUGGAAACUGAAGCGCUAGAGUGUCGUAGGGGUAGAGGGAAUUCCUGGUGUAGCGGUGAAAUGCGUAGAGAUCAGGAAGAACAUCGGUGGCGAAAGCGCUCUACUGGACGACAACUGACACUCAGGGACGAAAGCUAGGGGAGCGAAUGGGAUUAGAUAC